CUCCAGUUGAUCGCAGGGUCUUCUGGGAAAGCUUUCGCGGUAUGGGAUGGGGUCGCGUCCUAUCAGCUUGACGGCGGGGUAACGGCCCACCGUGGCUUCGACGGGUAGCCGGCCUGGGAGGGCGACCGGCCACAUUGGGACUGAGAUACGGCCCAGACUCCUACGGGAGGCAGCAGUGGGGAAUAUUGCACAAUGGGCGCAAGCCUGAUGCAGCGACGCCGCGUGAGGGAUGGAGGCCUUCGGGUUGUAAACCUCUUUUAUCGGGGAGCAAGCGAGAGUGAGUUUACCCGUUGAAUAAGCACCGGCUAACUACGUGCCAGCAGCCGCGGUAAUACGUAGGGUGCAAGCGUUAUCCGGAAUUAUUGGGCGUAAAGGGCUCGUAGGCGGUUCGUCGCGUCCGGUGUGAAAGUCCAUCGCUUAACGGUGGAUCCGCGCCGGGUACGGGCGGG
rnacentral:rRNA from 1 species